rnacentral:rRNA from 1 species
CUCAGUAAAACUGCGAUGAUUUAGUCUGGCUGUGUAGAUAACUACGUGAAAAUGUAGCUAAGGGAAGGCAGAAUAAGACGCAGGACUAUCAGUUAGUUGGUAGUGUAAUGGACUACCAAGACAGUGACGGUUGACGGGAAAUUAGGGUUUUGUACCGGAGAGGGAGCCUGAGAGAUUGCUCCCACGUCCAAGGACGGCAGCAGGCGCGAAAAUUGCCCACUCUUUGCAGGAGGCAGUUAUGAGACGUGAAGAUGAGUAUCUUGUAAAGAGGGAUAGGAGAAUUGGAGGGCAAGUUUGGUGCCAGCAGCCGCGGUAAUACCGACUCCAAGAGUGUGUAUGAGAGAUGCUGCAGUUAAAAAGUCCGUAGUCAUAGAAGGGCAAAGAGAGAUGCGAGGUCUCACAGUGCGAUGAUGGAGGAGCCGAUGGGGAACAUAGUAUACCAGGGCGAGAGAUGAAAUGCCAAGACCCCUGGUGGACUGAGCGAGGCGAAGGCGAUGUUCUUGUAGGCAUUCGGUGAUCAAGGACGAAGGCUGGAGUAUCGAAAGUGAUUAGAUACCGCAGUAGUUCCAGCAGUAAAAGAUGCCGACAUGCUCAUUGGACACAGUGGGCAGGGAGAAAUCUUAGAGUUCGGGCUCUGGGGAUAGUAUGCUCGCAAGGGUGAAAAUUAAAGAAAUUGACGGAGCUACACCACAAGGAGUGGAUUGUGCGGCUUAAUUUGACUCAACGCGAGGAAACUUACCAGGGCCAAGUAUUGUGUAGAAACGAGCAAUACAGGAGUGGUGCAUGGUCGUUGGAAAUUGAUGGGAUGACUUUGACCUUAAAUGGUUGAAUGAGUGAGAUCUUUUGGACAUGUUCCGCACGGAACAGGAAGGAAAAGGCUAUAACAGAUCCGAGAUGCCCUCAGAUGCCCUGGGCUGCACGCGCAAUACAAUAGCAGGUAGAGAGAGAGACAGGAAGGUGCUCAGAUGGACUAUGUGCUGUAAGGCACAUACGAAAGAGGAA